GACGAACGCUGGCGGCGUGCCUAAUACAUGCAAGUCGAACGCAGUGGGGACGGGUGAGUAACACGUGGGUAACCUCCCAUCAGAGGGGAUAACACUUGGAAACAGGUGCUAAACCGAUACUGAUGGAUGAACCCGCGGUGCAUUAGCUAGUUGGUGAGGUAACGGCUCACCAAGGCCACGAUGCAUAGCCGACCUGAGAGGUGGAGCGGCAACACUGGAACUGAGGCCCGGCCCAGAGUCCUAAGGGAGGCAGCAGGAGGGAAUCUUCGGCAAUGGACGAAAGUCUGACCGAGCAACGCGGCGUGAGUGAAGAAGGGUUUCGGAUCGUAAAACUCUGUAGUUAGAGAAGCGGUAUCUAACCAGAAAGCCACGGCUAACUACGUGCCAGCAGCCGCGGUAAUUC
rnacentral:rRNA from 1 species